rnacentral:ncRNA from 1 species
AAAUCGGCAAAGCAGACGAAAGUCUGUGACGCAAAGCUACAGGGCCUGUAAAAUGGUAGCCAGUUGC